UACGUAGGUGACAAGCGUUGUCCGGAUUUACUGGGCGUAAAGAGCGUGUAGGCGGCUCGGUAAGUCCGCUGUGAAAGUCGGGGGCUCAACCCUCGAAUGCCGGUGGAUACUGUCGGGCUAGAGUGCGGAAGAGGUGAGUGGAAUUCCUGGUGUAGCGGUGAAAUGCGCAGAUAUCAGGAGGAACACCAAUGGCGAAGGCAGCUCACUGGGACGAUACUGACGCUGAGACGCGAAAGCGUGGGGGAGCAAACAGG
rnacentral:rRNA from 1 species